CAGCUGGCAUGGGGGCAUUGCUGGGGCUCCAGAGACUGAGGCGAGGCUUGUCCUGGGAGCGCGGUUCCUGAGUGCAUGAGCUCAGACAGGCACUGCAGAGGGCCAGGGGUCUGUCUGUGGCCCUGGGGCCACACACGCUAAUCGAAAUGGGGUAUCUGUCUGUCUGUGGAGCUGAAUGUCUGCCUUACUCAUCCAGGCCCUGAGUCACCUCGUUUCAAAAUGCUGCCCGGUUCCUGGAACAGAGUCGAGCAUCAGUGGGUGGGCGUGAGUCAUUUCUGCCACUGGGACCUGCCUGCAUCUUGAACCUGGUCUGGGGCCACCAUUCUGAAGAUGUCUUUCUCUUUCUCUACAAGGCUCCCACCUCCUCCCUCUGCAUAUGGGGACUCUGGAUGGCAACUCAAGGCCUUUUCCGCCGGCUGCUGCCAGCCCAGCCUUUGGAGAGGAUCUGUCCAGCCUUUCUUCCAGGGGCUCUCGGGCUGCUGUCCUUCCCGCUGGACUGCAGCAGGGCCCCCUCCAGCAAAGCAUGAACCCCACCCCCCAACAGCUCCUCACCUCCCCUGCCCCGCAGGUCAGCUCCUGGAGGCAAGUCCAGGAGAGGACCGGCUAUGGUGUGAGGUCACAUCUCCCCAGAGGCCUUGCCACCCGUCCUUGCUGCCAGCCACAUCCUGGAUCAGAGGAUCCUCCAGGAGAAGUGAAACUGGACUUGCUUCUCCAGCCCCAGCUGGCAGCGCCCCUCAGAGCUGAGCGUUCCCAGCUGUGUGUUCUGCUGGGUGAGCGGUUUAGGUGGUAACUGAAAGAGCCAACAGUUCAGGGGAACUUGUGGAAAGGCAUUGCACCAAAGCAUGACACGGUUAUCAUUUGGGGGCCAUAUCAUGAGUCUUCUGAAUGUUAUUGUGAUGACCUGGCAGUGGAGGCUUUACUCCAAGCUUCUCUAAAUGACCAAGACAACAAGCCAGUCAGAGUGACAUGCAUUCUUUCAUUUACUGGAAAAUAUUUGUUGCCUACUUACCAUGCGUCAGGCUCUGUGCAGGGCCCUGGAGGCCGCAGCCCCGAGGCUGGGGACAAACCUUCCCCACCUGCUUGUGGUCAGAUGACAGUGUCAGACACAGGUGGGCAGGUCUGUGGGACUUUGAAGGCUGAUCAUCCCCAUAGAAAACAGGACAAGAGGACAGAGGUCCCUACCUGCCUGCUGAGUCCAGCGAAGUGUCACUCCUGAACAUUGCAGGCCAAGGAGGAAGGGAUUUGGCCAGGAGUUAGCAGUGGGGGUCAGCAAUGGGGUGAGGUCAUCAGAGGUGUGUGCGCUGCAAGCCUGACCCUUCCAGGUCUGUCUGGGGAGGGAGAAGACUCAGGGGAUGAGAAAGAAAGUCAAAUGGCGGGGCCAGUUCAAAUAUCCUUCCUUUAGUCAGCCUCCAUCACCUACUGGAUGGGGAGAGGUGGCAGGGGGCUCAGCAGGCCUCCAAAUGGAGCUGUUUUUUUCUCCACAAGUCGACUUUCCAAUUAACAUAUAAACACUACUAUAUAUAAAAUAGAUAACAAACAAGAACCUAGUAUAUAGCACAGGAAAAGUGAAAGUGUUGUUUGCUCAGUUGUGUCUGACUCUGCCACCCCGUGGACUUAGCUGGCCAGGCUCCUCUGUCCAUGGAAUUCUCCAGGCAAGAAUACUAGAGUGGGUAACCUUUCCCUUCUCCAGGGGAUCUUCCCCACCAGGGAUCGAACCUGGGUCUCCCACAUUGUAGGCAGAUUCUUUACCAUCUGAGCCACCAGGGAAGUCUACUCAAUAUUCUUUAAUAACCUAUAUGGGAACAGAACAGAAAAGGAGAAUGCAUAUAUGUAUACACAUAACUGAGUCACUGUGCUGUACACUUGAAACUAACACAACAUUGUAAAUCAACUAGACUCAAAUAAAAAUUUUUAAAAUAAAGUGAAAACUAAACA
rnacentral:lncRNA from 1 species